CUUUCACAGGGCACAGCGAGAAAAGCCUCUAAGUCUCCCGGGCGCUGCAGCCUCUUCUGGCUUCUGCUGUCCUGCUCAUGUUUCUCGCCUGUCCUUUAUUGCACAGAGCCUCCUGCGUGCCAGCCCCGCGUGCGUGCCAGCCCUGGGCUGGGAAGGACGCUGUGGAUUGCCAGACUGGAGCAUUUCUGCCGCUAUGAGUCACAUUCUGGCUGAAGAGCCUUGCUGGGCAAACAGCGACAAGGAGGUGCUUGUCCUGGGGUGAUCCAGAGCCCUGGGUGAAGAAGGAUUCCUUUACAAACGUCUCCAGGAACUUCUCUUCACACCUGCUGGCUUGAACUGUCACACGGACCCACGCAAGCCGAUCGAUGACCCACGGGACCAUCGUUUUUGGAUCACAGCAAUCAUGAUGCAAUGGCCCGAGGUGGGCUGGGAGCCACCUCUGCUGAAACACCCACGAGCUGAUAGGGAGGAGCCUUCACAGCCGCACCCGGGUCCAAGGCAAUUGCUUAAAGAACUUCUAAGGGAAAGGAGAGG